rnacentral:snoRNA from 1 species
ACUGGAGGACUAAUGAGACUGAGUCUGAAGAGUGAGACUUGGCUGACAGUGACCUCCUAAAAGCAAAGGGAUGGAGAGACCAGUCCUGCUUCCAGCAAAGCAAAGGGCUCACUGUGCCAUCAGACACUC